rnacentral:ribozyme from 14 species
AAGAAAAAAAAGAAAGAAAGAAAGAAAGAAAGAGCAAAGCAGAUUUUAAUGUCAGCAUGUACUUAUGAUUUUUGCUCUUUCUCUCUUUUGAAAAGCAACACACUUGAGUGAAAGUUAUAAGGAUGCUUUUCGGCAGUGAUGUUUUUAAUUGCUGGUGUAAAACAAAAUCAAAAGAGAGAUUGGAGGAUUCGUUUUGGUGGAUUUGACAAUUGUACAAAGAAUAGUUUUUUUUUAAAAAUGAGUGCUUGUUCCUUCUUUUUUUUGGAGAUGAUGUCACAACUACACUCUGAUCUCCAGUAGUGUUUCGAGACGGGUGCUCUGUCGUAGGUUUAGAGGGAGGAAAAGGUGUCGUAAAAAAAAAUCUUGCUGUUCUUUCGAAAUUACAAUCGCGCGC